AAAGAACACUAGCUGUAUGAAGAAACACAUGAGUGAUUACCAUACUGCAAAAUAAAACAUAUGAAUAUACAAUGAAUAUACAUUUGAAAAUAUUUACAGCAGCUUCAUGUUCAGAGUCACUGUAAGUCUGUUUGAUUCCUGAAGAGUGAAACACUGAUGCUUUUUCAACAUUGAUCUCUUUGAGUGACAUGUCAACUUAACUUAACUUAACUUAACUUAAUUAACUUGACUUAAUUAACGUAAACUGACUUAACCAAUCACCUGUGUUCGGAAUAGGGCUAUCUGACUCACUGACCAAUGGCGGAAACAUAAAAUUUUUUGCAGUUUAUAUUGUUAGUGCAGAGAUUAAUCAUGUCACCUUUAAAUUAUGUAUUUACACAUCAUUGUAGUAUUUUUUAAAGUGAUUUAGACAAUAUAUAUAUAUAUAUAUAUAUAUAACUGUAUUGUACUCAUGAGAAACACAGCUGACAAGCAUAAGAAAUUCAAAAGAAAACAUAUUGUCUCGAUUAUGUGUCUUGUCUUUUUUCCGGACUCCAUUUCCCAUGAUCCCUCAUCUAGGAAUCAGUCACACAUUCACACUUGUUUCCCAUCAGUCACACUAUAAAGGUUGCGCUCAUCCACACACGUUGCUGAUUAUUGCUUAGCCUGUGUUAUACUUUCUGUGUGCGCGAGUCGGCUAGGUUGCGCUAUGGUAUGUGUUAUGAGGUUCCAUUUGUGCCAAAAUUAUGUCGACAUGCUGUCUGUCUAUGCUAUGUGUCAUCUCAACUUACUCCUGUCAUCUGUCCUUGUUGUUUGACUGUGUCGUCUUGCGUGUCAAUGCUGCAUGUGUCAUGACUAUGUGUUUAUGUGUUCAUUCUGUCGUUGCUAUGCGUCGUUUCCCUCUGUAGUUACUAUGUGUCGUCUUCCAUGUCUAUGCUAUGCGUCUAUGCUAUGCGUCGUUACCCUCUGUCGUUACUAUGUGUCGUCUUCCAUGUCUAUGCUAUGCGUCGUUGCUAUGCGUCGUUACCCUCUGUCGUUACUAUGUGUCAUCUUCCAUGUCUAUGCUAUGCGUCGUUGCUAUGCGUCGUUUCCCUCUGUCGUUACUAUGUGUCGUCUUCCUUGUCUAUGCUAUGCGUCGUUGCUAUGCGCCGUUUCCCUCUGUCGUUCCUAUGUGUCGUCUUCCAUGUCUAUGCUAUGCGUCGUUACCCUCUGUCAUUGCUAUGUGUCGUCUUCCAUGUCUAUGCUAUGCAUCGUUACUAUGCAUCGUUUCCCUCUCUUUUGUAUAUUUUUUUGUAAAAUUUUUGUAAAAUUUUAUUUUUAUACUGUACACUUAACAGUAUUUUUUUUUUAUUUCUUACUGUCCUCUGUUUUUAUUCUUUAAGUGAGUGUUGUAGCCUAGCCUACUUUAUAGCAAAGAUUAAUCAGAGUCAAAUUCCUUGUUUGUUUACUCAAACCUGGCCAAUAAAGCUGAUUCUGAUGUCGUUUCUAUGUACUUA
ensembl:lncRNA